rfam:Halarchaeum acidiphilum MH1-52-1 DNA, contig: HAL050.
UGAGGCGGCCAGAGCGGUGAGGAUACACCCGUACCCAUCCCGAACACGGAAGUUAAGCUCACCUGCGUAUGAGGUAGUACUGGAGUGCGCGAGCCUCUGGGAACACUGAUUCGCCGCCUCGC